GUGUCAGCAGCCGCGGUAAUACGUAGGUGGCAAGCGUUAUCCGGAAUUACUGGGCGUAAAGCGCACGCAGGUGGUUGGCUAAGAUUGACGUGAAAGCGCCUGGCUUAACUGGGCGAGGUCGUUGAUGACUGGCCGACUUGAGGCGAGGAGAGGGGUGUAGAAUUCCCGGUGUAGUGGUGGAAUGCGUAGAUAUCGGGAGGAAUACCAGUGGCGAAAGCGGCACCCUGGCCUUGGCCUGACGCUCAGGUGCGAAAGCGUGGGGAGCGAACGGGAUUAGAAACCCUCGUAGUCC
rnacentral:rRNA from 1 species